rnacentral:rRNA from 1 species
GAUCCUGGCUCAGGAUGAACGCUGGCGGCGUGCCUAAUACAUGCAAGUCGAACGCGCAGCGAGAGGUGCUUGCACCUUUCAAGCGAUGGCGAACGGGUGAGUAACACGUGGAUAACCUGCCUCAAGGCUGGGGAUAACAUUUGGAAACGGAUGCUAAUACCGAAUAAAACUUAGUAUCGCAUGAUAUCAAGUUAAAAGGCGCUACGGCGUCACCUAGAGAUGGAUCCGCGGUG